AGAGUUUGAUCCUGGCUCAGGACGAACGCUGGCGGCGUGCCUAACACAUGCAAGUCGAGCGGUCCGGCAGCCAACUUAAGUUGGGAGCCGGAUAGCGGCGGACGGGUGAGUAACGCGUGGGCAACCUACCCUUAAGACCGGGAUAACACCUCGAAAGGGGUGCUAAUACUGGAUAAGCUCCUUGUAGGGCAUCCUAUGAGGAGGGAAGGUAGCGGGAGCUACCGCUUAAGGAUGGGCCCGCGUCCCAUCAGCUAGUUGGUAGGGUAACGGCCUACCAAGGCGACGACGGGUAGCCGGCCUGAGAGGGUGGUCGGCCACACUGGGACUGAGACACGGCCCAGACUCCUACGGGAGGCAGCAGUGGGGAAUCUUGCGCAAUGGGCGAAAGCUAGACGUCAGCGACGCCGCGUGAGCGAGGAAGGCCUUCGGGUCGUAAAGCUCGAUAGUGUGGGAAGAAGGGAUGACGGUACCACACGAAAGCCCCGC
rnacentral:rRNA from 1 species